rnacentral:lncRNA from 1 species
AGGGAUCAGACGCAUACACCCCUUCCUGAGGUCCUCGGCCAGUCCAUCUUCCACGCCGCAGCAGCAGACGUCUGGGCGCUGGCAGUCCUGCUCUUCGAGAUCAUUCACAGAUAUCUGACCUUCGAAAGCUUUGAUGCCAUUCAGCACGGCUACGUCCGGAUGGAUCCCACCUUAUCCACAGCGUGCCAUGACCUGAUUUUCCACUGCUUGAGCCGUAAUCCAGCUCACCGGCUGACGCUCCAGCAGCUGGAAGAGCACCGCUGGAUGAAGGCCUAGACUGGAGAAGACAGGGAUCCCGAUGUGCACCAGACAGAGUUUACU